rnacentral:rRNA from 1 species
AUUGAACGCUGGCGGCAUGCCUAACACAUGCAAGUCGAACGGAGGGCUUCGGCCCUUAGUGGCGGACGGGUGAGGAACACGUAGGAAUCGGCCCACGAGUGGGGGACAACCUGGGGAAACUCAGGCUAAUACCGCAUACGCUCGCGAGAGGAAAGCGGGGGACCUUCGGGCCUCGCGCUGGUGGACGAGCCUACGUCCGAUUAGCUAGUUGGUGGGGUAACGGCCUACCAAGGCGACGAUCGGUAGCGGGUCUGAGAGGACGACCCGCCACACUGGGACUGAGACACGGCCCAGACUCCUACGGGAGGCAGCAGUGGGGAAUAUUGGACAAUGGGCGCAAGCCUGAUCCAGCAAUGCCGCGUGGGUGAAGACGGCCUGCGGGUUGUAAAGCCCUUUAGGCGGGGAGGAACGGUCGGGUGCCAAUACCACCCGGCGCUGACGUUACCCGCAGAAUAAGCACCGGCUAACUCCGUG